GGCUCGUUUACAGUUAGGCAGUGAGUUGAUAGCGCCCUGAAAUGGAAAAAUCAGGGCCUCUCACCCACUACCAUGACUGUACUUGCCCUAUUCGACCCUCUC
rnacentral:pre_miRNA from 1 species